rnacentral:lncRNA from 1 species
CCGGACUGACGGGCGACGCGGAGGGAUCGCUGUCGUACACGUGGGGGCAGGCGCGGCAUCUGGCGAGCGGAGUCAAGCGGGGCGCCGAGCAUGGCAGGCGCCUUGUCGCCUAGCGCGGCCGCUGAUAUUCCCUUGGACUUUUGCGGGCCGGGCUCUCUCCAUUAUAUUUUUGUGAGCUGAUGACGAGACGCUGUUGGUUGAUCCGGAUGGGAUGGGAUGGGACGCCAAGGGGAAAGAAGUCUGGUGAUGGUUUGAUUGCCUUCCUCUUCCAUCUGAAUGAAUCUCAUCUGAUCUGAUCUGAUGAUGGUUUUCUCAGGUUCUCGGGGCCGGAAUUUUGGUUGCGGCCGGGGGAUGGUGUCAGCUGAAGCAAACUUGCCGAGGUGUCGACGGGGGAGUGUUUCCGGCAAGCGUGACCUGACUCCAACUCAACCCGCCUUGUUUUCCAAACGCCGCUCCGGCUCAGUUUGAGCCAGUCCUUUCGCUGACUGCUGCGAUGGACUUGCAUGCCAGGGCAUUUAAGAAGCUUUUUUUUUCAGAAAAAGGAGAAAUGCCCCGGGCCAUUUUAUUAAUUAUUAACACAAGACUUUAUAAAGUGAUACAACAAUAAGAAAGCCAUCAUCUAAGCAACAUGUAUCGCUACUCCUAUCUAGUUGAUGAAGAGGCGCUGAUAGUUUAGGCCUUAAUACCAAACAAACCUUGUAACCAAACCUAACAUCUAAG